rfam:Gasterosteus aculeatus cont1.006699, whole genome shotgun sequence.
UUUAAAGUGUAAUGUAAGUCGCUUUGGAUAAAAGCAUCUGCUAAAUGACCUGUA